GCUCAUGUUCUCCAUGAAUGCUCGUUAGAUCUCAGUUUGCUUGAAGAAUUUUCGAGCAGCUUUGGGGAUCGAAUUAUUGAUCUGUAGAGGGGGAAAAUCAUUCGUUUUCCUGCUGUCUGCGGAGCUACUACUUCAUCUAUAUGGAAAUGGUAGCAUAGUGUGAUUGAACUGAUGUGUUGCUUAAUUGGUUCGCAGGAAUGGGUUCCAGAAGCUGGACAAGAUCAAGGAUGCCAACCGCCGCACUACAUAGCUUGAAGAGCUUACUGAUAAGAUGCGAGAUUGCAAAAGAUCAAAGAAUUAAACUCAUAAGAAACAGUGAGUUUUGACCUAUCCCACUGCAUCAUAAUUAUCUUUCUAAUAAACAGUAAGCGGCAAUAAGAAGAAGAACGACGAGAACUCAGCGCUCAGGGCCAUGUCAAAAAUGGCACAAAGAGUGACCAUGUACAUGAAUCCCUUCAAGACCAUGAUCUUUUUAGGUCAUUAAUCACUUACUGAUUUGGGUAAUUGGUUCUUUAAUUUUGGUCUUCUCAUGUGCAACACUAUUAUGGUAAGUGCAGGAAACACCUUGCUAUUGACAUGUUUGAAACGGUUUGUUCUAUAACUAGCUUGGAGUCAAUCAACAAGGCUCCAAUUCUUAGUUAUUUGGACUCAUUAAUCCUUCAGUUGCUAUAUUUCCUUAUUUUGAUAACUAUUAGCACAACAAUCUCAAAAUAAUCCUUCUAUAAUUGCCUGUGUGUUUGGAGCACUUAUGUUUUCUGUUUUCUGGUGACUUUACAGCUAAAGAUUUUGGUGUGUAUUUUUUUAUUACGCACAAAAUUCAUUAUGGUUGUUAUUUGUUAGCCAUUUGAAAAUCCAAAAUCAAACAUUGAAUAAAUCUUGACAGUGUAUGGUUAGGUGCAUGUGUUUCGAAUGUGUUCCAGCUAAUGGAACAGUGGUGUGUCAAAUACAUAGUUAAGGAUGCAGUACAUGACCUUGAUUUAAAAAAGAACUAGAUCUUAAGAUGCUGGAUGUUCUGAAUAGAUCUCAUAUUUGAUAUUUAUACUAAGAAAUAGUUCAGAAAAGAGA